UACGUAGGUGGCAAGCGUUGUCCGGAAUUAUUGGGCGUAAAGAGUAUGUAGGCGGUUUGUUAAGUUUGAGGUUAAAGCCCGGGGCUCAACCCCGGUUCGCCUUGAAAACUGACAGACUUGAAUGCAGUAGAGGCAAGUGGAAUUUCAUGUGUAGCGGUGAAAUGCGUAGAGAUAUGAAGGAACACCAGUGGCGAAGGCGACUUGCUGGGCUGUUAUUGACGCUGAGAUACGAAAGCGUGGGUAGCAAAUAGG
rnacentral:rRNA from 1 species